rnacentral:rRNA from 1 species
GAUCCUGGCUCAGGACGAACGCUGGCGGCGUGCUUAACACAUGCAAGUCGAACGAGAAUCUACUGAAAGAGUUUUCGGACAAUGGAAGUAGAGAAAAGUGGCGGACGGGUGAGUAACGCGUGAGGAACCUGCCUUGAAGAGGGGGACAACAGUUGGAAACGACUGCUAAUACCGCAUGAAGCAUAGGGGUCGCAUGAUUCUUAUGCCAAAGAUUUAUCGCUUCAAGAUGGCCUCGCGU